CUCACGUUGCAAUAUAGUUUAUAUUUGCUGGAAUACAAUUAUUUAAAGAUGUUCUUGGACCCUGAUGAUGGACGAUGAUAUUAUAAAACUAUUGACCUUGUUUCCCCAACUACCCAACAUCUGUGGUCACUGACGGACAGGAACAGAAACCCUCUCCAGAACACGUGUCAUCACGUUUGAUGCAGAUGCAGCUGACAUGGUGAGAAUGUCCAGUGUGGCUUCAG